AAAAUUAAAAAAAAAAAAAGGAGACAUAUAUUUGAGCUCUCUACACUGAAGAUAUUAUCACUUUAACAUGUAAUUAACAUAAAAAUUAUUUAUGAGAUAUUUUACAUUCUUUUUUUGUACUGAGUUUUUGCAGUCUGAUGUGUAUUUUACAUUUAACAGCCCAUCUCAAUUUAGGCCAACCACAUUUUCAAGUGUUCAGUAGCCAUGUGUGGCUAGUGCUACUGUAUUGGACAGCGUAGAUCUGUACUGAAAAUCUGUUACUGCCACGGAGACGCCACUGAUACAUAUAUGGUUUAGUGAAAAAGGGACGGUACCACUUUGGUAUGAACCACUUCGGUAAAGGGGAAACACUCCACGAACAUAUUGAAGAAGAAGAUGUAUACACAUGUGUACCCAAUUUAGAAUGAGGCUUUGGGUGGAGCGAUGGAGGGACUCACUCUGUCCUUACCUGAUUUUUUACAAUAAACUUUUUAUUUGUGGAUAAUUUUAGACUCACAAAAAAGUUGCAAAGAUGAUACAGGGAGCUCCCAUUUGCCCCUCACCCAGUUUCCCCUGUCGUUAACAUUGUACAUCAGCGUGGUGCAUUUGUCAAAAUUAAAAACCCACGAUUGGCACACGACUAUGAACUAAACUCCAGACUUCAUUCAGCCUUUGCCAGUGUUUCCACUAGUGUCCUUUUUGUGUUCCGGAUUCAUGCUGGGAUUGAACUGCAUUUCGUCAUUAUGCCUCUCCAGUCUUCUCUGCUCUCUGACCAGUUUCUCAGUCUUUCCUUGUUUCCUAUGACUAUGACAGUCUUAAGCAGUGCUGGCCAGGCAUUUUGUAAAAUGUUUCUAAGUUUGGGUUUGUCUGAAGAAGGCCUCCUGACUGAACUGGGGUGAUGGGUUUUGGGGAAGAAUACCACAGAGGUGAGCUGUCUUUGUCACAGCACAUCCAGGGGUAUAGGACAUCCAUAUACCUUAUCCCUGGGAAUGUUCACCUUUGUUGCUUGGUUAAGGUAGUGUCUGCCCUGUCUCUCCACUGUAAAUGUUACUAUUUUUCCCUUCCCAUACUCUGUUCUUUGAAGGCAAGUCACUAAGUCCAGACCUUCCUCAAAGGCGGUGGUGAUUAAACUUCUUUCUCCUGGGUGGAGUAUCUACUUGUAUUAUUUGGAAUUCUUCCCUAAGGAAGAUCUGUCCAUUCUCCCCUGUCUGUCUGGCUAGCUAGCUCGCUCUCAGUAUGGACUCACAUAUUUGUUUUAUACUUUCAGUUGUAAUCCAAUUGGAUUGUUUUUCACAAUGAAUAUAAAUUCAUGUAUUGUGAUGUUUUUAAUGCAGAAAACACAAACAACCAUGCUGUGUGAGACACAAAUUCUAUGAUUGGCAAGACUUUUACCUCCACAGCUCUUCAAGACUGCCUUUGAGGAGGAUAAUCAUUGGCUCAUUACUAUUCAACUAGCAACUUUAGACACGCUAUUUCAACUCUGCAGUUCUCAGUACCCCCAUCUGAAUAAGAGAAUGUAUCAUGAAAUGGUCUCGAGGUGAAGAAGGGGAUGAUGUUUGUAUUACAGGUAUUUUGUUGCCUACUAAUAGACAUUAAGUCCUUAAUGGCAAGUGUUAUCUUCUCUUAUUUAUGUUGGAAGAUGAGCCCAGAGCUAAUAGCCCUUGAGAACAUGACGUAAACAUAAUCAAUAUUUACAUCCCCUAUCACAACCCCAAAUAGUUCUCCUGACCUACUCAUUCACCUCUGAGUGGGAUCUGGCUUUCCUAUUCUCCCUCAGCUUUUUCUCCAGUGGCUGAAGUCUACCCUGAGGCCUGGCACUGGGAGCCCUGUCCUACAGAUGUCUCCUGACCUCUGGCUUCAUUCUUGUGCCUCUCAUCUAUCUCUGCUAUGACCACACUGAUGUCCUUAUCACCCCCAUGAACGAAAACGCUUACUGAAUAUCUCCCUCCUCUGUGGCAGGCCCUGAGAUGAGAUGAACCGGAUAGGGGCUUUGUGUCCUAGCCCAUCUUCCAGUGGGGGAACCAGGUCAUCAAUCCAUAGCAAUCUGUCAUCUGGAGGAAUGGGUUGGGGACUAUGGGAGCAUUAUAGAGGGAGGGCCUAGGUGUGCCUGUGGAGGGGGUUGGUCUGGAGAGAAUGAAAAAGGCUUUGCAAAGAUGCUAAUUUGGGAGCCGGCCUGGGACAGGUAUAUAGGAAUUUACCAGGCAGGGAAUGGGAGAAGUGGUGCUCCAGCACAAGGAAAGGUAUAUGCAAGCCAGAGAAAUGUCAAAGAACAGGGAACAAUAAUAUGCAUGAUAUGGCUAGAGCCAAAGUGCAGACAGAGGACGAAUGGCCUGAAGUGAGAGUGGAGACUGAGGUGGGGGACAGUCUGUGAAAGCCUGAAUUCUGGGCUGGAAAUUUCUACUUGGGGAAUUUUUGAUAUUUUGAGAUGAGGAAAUUACCUAAGUAAAAGGAGAGGUCCUGGAUCAGGGACCUACUACUCAGGUAACUGUUAAUCAACAAAUAUUGAGCUCCUGUGGCACAUCACGAGGCACUUGUUCAUUUCCUCCUCCACCCUGACGGUGAGCUUUGGGACAGGGACUGUGUCUCAUUCAUUUCUGUGUCCCCAGCAGAGUCUCGUACAGAGCAGGAACUCAACACACACACACUGAAAUGAGGGAAUUAGAAGCCCAGGUGAGACCCGGUGCCUGAGUCCUGUUUAGGUUCUCACCAUGCAGGAUAGGGGCCAAGCCCUCCCUCAUGAUUUUCACGAGUCUCUCAUGGUUCUGCAGUUUCUCUAUACAUGCAAGAGUCUCAUCCUCUCCUGCCUGAUGCAGAGAGCAGAGCUCCCUGAGGAAGCACUAAGGGUUGGAUUGCUUCAGAGCCAGAAAAUGCAUGGCCCAUGGGAGGUUCAUCUCAGAGUUUCGUCUCCUGUCCAGUGGGGAGUUCAAAGCAGGUGGAUCUUGAGGUCCCAACCAGCUCUCUCAGAAGUUCCAUAAUUCUACAGCUUUUUGAUUCGCACCCCAGAGCACGCCUUGGCAGGAGCAGCGCGAUUCACAAGAGGUGAAAUGUGGAAUCAACCCAAGCGUCCAUCGACCGAUGAAUGGAUAAAUGACACGUGGUGUAAGUAUACCCCCCGGAAUAUUAUCCAGCCUUAGAAAUAAAAGGAAUCCUGCAACAUGCUACAACACGGGUGAACCUCGAGGACACGAUGCUAAGUGACAUUGACCAGGCACACACACACGCAAAAGACAAAUAGUGUAUGAUCCCACUUAUAUGUGGUGCUUAGAGUGGUCAGAUCCACAGAGACAGAAUGGUUAUGGGGGUUGCCAGGCACUGGGGGGAGGUGUAUGUAUAGAGUUUCGGUUUUACAGGACAAACAGGUCUGGGUAUGGGUGGUCGGUGAUGGUGCACGACAGUGUGAGUGUACUUAAUACCAGUUCACAGUGGCAAAUUUUAGGCCGUAUGUCACCACAACAUUUUUUUAACAAGGAAAUCUGACCUUGUCAGUAUCUUUUCAGUUCCCUGCCAUGGUCUGUUCUUGGGACGAAGUGCCAGCUCCACAGUUGGGCACCCAGAGUCCCCUGGGACGCAGCCUCCCCACCUCUCAGGCCUUAUGCCCUGCUCCCCACAGUCGUCACUCCACAGUCUCAACUGCUGACAGUUUGUCGCACAAGCCAACCGUGUUUUCUAAUGCUGGGGCCUUCGUACAUUUUUUUUUUUUUUAUUUUCAACGUUGGGAUUUGAUUUUAUUUUUUUAAAGAUUGUAUUUUUUG